UGAAAAGAACAAAGAACUUGCAUAAUCUGCAUAUGUUAAUGUUGAGCAUAUUCCUUACUUUUGUUCAGACAUAUUAGUAUCAUGUUGUAGAUUGGUUACUAUAUUUCAGCUUAUCCUUUCUAUUAUGCCUGAGUUAGUCCUAGUGGGAAAGUCGGUGAUGUUGAGGCCGAACCCACUGGGAACUUUGUUGUAGUUCUCACCCCACUAUUUUCACAGAGCCGGGACCGAGCGAGCCGGCGAGCGACCGGGGUAAAGGUAUCGCGCCUUAGUCAGAGGCCACCCAAGUUGGGUUCCAUUUUGUAGUAAAGUACCCUAUAAUCAUAUUUGUAUAUGAUAGUAAAUGAUGUAAAGAAAAGAAUGUAAUAUGUAUUUUGAGGUAAAUGUGAUGUAAGAAAGAAAUGAUGAAAUGAAAUGUAAGGAAUUCGAAAAUGAACCAGAUGAAUGCUUGUAUAUGAU
rnacentral:lncRNA from 1 species